GGAUGAGAGGGCAACCUGGCCGCAACAUCUGUCACCCCACUGAUUGCAGGGGUUGAUUUGGCUGAUCUGGCCGGCUGGUUGAUCUGGCUGGCUGUGGGGUGGCUGUCCUCCUCCUCCCUCACGGCUCCAUACGCACAGGCCCCCCAGCUGUACGCUCCCUCAGUGGAAGAGGAUGACACCCCAUAGAGGAGGACGGUUUCCUGGUCAAGGGUAUACAAGUAACUGCACUUCCCCACUAGAACCUCCAAAUAGGCUCUCAAAUUAGAAGUUAAGACGGCCUGGGAGCCCGUUAUGGUGGUACAGGUGUGUAAUCACAGGACUCAGAAAGCACACCUGCAAUGCCAGCAUGCUGGGACU
rnacentral:snRNA from 1 species